rnacentral:lncRNA from 1 species
GGAGGGCAGCGGGGAGGAGACCAGCCAGACGGGAGAAGAAAGCCCUGCCCGGGCUGGGUUGGGACCUCCAGGGCGCUUCCCCGCGCGGCCGCAGCCGGCCAGCCUCUGGUCUCGGUUGGAGGGCAUCGCAGGCGCGGCCUGGCGACCUCCGGGCGCCUUUGGCUGGUGUCUUCCGUAGCCCUCGGCGCGCACCCUCCCGCGUGCAGUGCCCGGAGUGACCUCUUCAGGCCCCGCGGGCGCCUCCUGGGUGGGCCCCGCGGCCCCUCCAACCCUGCCCAGCGUGUGUGCGCGGCCUAGCCAUCUUUCUCCCCAGCCUGGGAAGGCGGGCGGGAGGAGGGGAUCCGAGGCCGGGGGCCGCGGAGCAAAAGGCACGCGGACCCCUAAACGACCCCCGAGCGUUGCCACAGCCGGGAGGGCGGAGGGAAGGUGUGCAGAGCUCGGGGGUCUCCCAGGACGCAGCUUGGCUCCUACCGGUUUCCAAGGCAUCUGCAAGCUCUGUCCUGCGACCUAAAGCAUGGGGACGUCCCUUCCAGCAGCAUCAGUGGGCGAAAAGUUAACAUGCUGAGGGCCACCGGCACCCACACUUGCUUCCAGGAAUACUUGCGGUACAGGC